AGGAUGAACGCUGGCGGCGUGCCUAAUACAUGCAUGUCGAACGGAUUGUGGGAUUUAUUACAUAGUUAGGGGCGAACGGGUGAGUAACGCGUUGGUGACCUGCCCCAGAGCGGGGGAUAACAGCUCGAAAGGGUUGCUAAUACCCCAUGUGGUUGUUGGAUUUUGAAACCAACAACUAAAGGAGUAAUCCACUUUGGGAGGGGCCUGCGUCCCAUCAGCUAGUUGGUAGGGUAACGGCCUACCAAGGCAAAGACGGGUAGGGGACSUGAGAGGGUGGCCCCCCACAAUGGAACUGAAACACGGUCCAUACACCUACGGGUGGCAGCAGUAGGGAAUAUUGCACCAUGGGCGAAAGCCUGAUGCAGCAACGCCGCGUGAGUGAUGAAGGCCUUCGGGUCGUAAAACUCUUUUCAAGGGGAAGAGGAAGGACGGUACCCUUGGAAUAAGCAUCGGCUAACUACGUGCCAGCAGCCGCGGUAACACGUAGGAUGCGAGCGUUAUCCGGAUUUACUGGGCGUAAAGCGCGUGUAGGCGGUUGAGAAAGUUGGAUGUGAAAGCUCCCGGCUUAACUGGGAGAGGUCGUUCAAAACUUCUUGACUUGAGUUUGGUAGAGGAAAAUGGAAUUCCGGGUGUAGUGGUGAAAUGCGUAGAUAUCCGGAGGAACACCAGUGGCGAAAGCGAUUUUCUGGACCAAUACUGACGCUCAGACGCGAAAGCUAGGGUAGCAAACGGGAUUAGAGACCCCGGUAGUCCUAGCCGUAAACGAUGUAGACUUGGCGUUGGAGGAGUAAAAUC
rnacentral:rRNA from 1 species